ensembl:lncRNA
CGCGGGCUCCCGCGGCUCGGCUCCGAGGCGCGUUCCUGCGGGGGUGGCGUGGGCCGCGCCGGGCUCCGAGCUCUCGGCGGCUAGCCUCUGCAGACUGCAAGGCUCCGCGCGGCGCCCGGGAGGGCGGCCGGCGUCCACAAGGUGGCAGUGCCGCGCUGCUGGUGUCCCGGCCGGGAGUCCGCACGCGCCGCGCCGGGCGGCCGGAGUCCGCACUUCCCUCCUGCCAAAGUUUUAAUGAACAUAUAGACACACCCGGACCUGGGUCACCCCCAGGGUCUGCUGGCCGCGCCCCACAGAUCUGGGGGUUCCCCUGGGAGAGAUGCACGCCCCGAUGGCGUCUUUGUCCCAACUCAGGGAAUCAGAACUUGGGGCCUGUCACUGCAGCAAGAGUCUGGUCAUGGCUGUGGAGACGCCAGUGCCCUAGGAAAAGAUGAGGCAUCGUCUGAGGAAUCGCCUUCAGAACCCGAGGCACAUCUGUUCAGACCUUCGAUGCUGACAGCUGUUUUUGAAGGUGAAUAUGGCGCUUGGAACCAUCCAGAAGUCAUCUGGAGUCCAGUGAAAAAGCCAGCCAUCAAGCUGUCAGAGUGGGUCUUCUGGAACUUCGAGUAUAUCACGUUCUGCUCAGAAUCUGCACAGAACCUUCGAAGGAGACUUCCAGCUUGCUCUGAACCAUAUCCAGAGUUCUCUCCAUGGUUGGUGGGACCCUGAGUAAUAUGCCCUCCGGACAAGCUUUCUGACCUCAUCUCCCAGCACUCACCUCUCCCUUGCUCCGCUGCAGCCACACUGACCUCCUCCACCUUCCUCUCACCUGCCAAACCUCUGCUGUCUCAGGACCUUUGCACUGACUGUUCUAUUAGUUGGGACACUCUUGACUUCAAAAACCCACAUUCCCAAUACAUUUGCUUCAUCAGGAGGCCUUCCCUGACCAUGCACCCAGACCUUCUCUGCCUACUCCUCCUGCUUUGGUUUUCCUCCUUUGUGAAUGUCACUCCCUGACGUCGUAUCCACGGUCAUGCUCCACCUCCUUUUCCUAGAUUAUCAUCUCCAAGAGAUUGGGGUCUUCAUUUCACUCACUGCUUUAUCUCUGAUGUUAGGAACAGUGAUUGGCACAUAGUAGGUAUAUAAUAAAAUUUGUUGGAUG